UCCAACCAUAUGCACGGUUACAACACUUUUUAUAGACCAACUCGUCCGAUCCAAGGCAACGUGUUCCUUUAAGCGACUGAGAAUAUUUUUGCUUCCACCUGGACAAGAUUGCCAGUUCAAAUGAUAGGUCACUCCCAGCUCUCGUUGGUACCCAUUUGUACACCUGGGUGUAGAGAAGCAAUUAUGGUAGAGUACCUUGCUCAAGAGUCAUCACAGAUGAAGGCUAAAUGUCAUUGAAAUCAUUUUAUUGUUUUUUGAACAACAUGAUCUAAUUACCCUAUUGAUUGGUAAUUGAGAAACCUAGACUUGAUCAGUCUAUCUUUCGGGCAGCUUGAUGAUUCUUAUUAAAGAAAUGUACACAAAUAUUGAUUUUCUUUCCUUUGUGUUUCUUUGUUUAUACCUUUUAUCGGAAACUAAGACCGACAGUGUGUUCUCGGUCAACCACAGAGAGGCCAUUUAGAUGUGUGAGGAAUACCCAGGGGGGAAACCCACGCAACCAGGUAGGGAAUGAAACACCAUUUCUAAAUGCAAGGCUGCACUGGUCCAAGGUGGGAUUCGAACCAGUGUUCACAAAAGGCAUAGAAAGAAACUACUGAUCAACCUGAUCAAAUUGAUGAUACUUAAUACUAAAAGGGGAAUUGGCUGUUGCAAACUGCUAACCAACCAAAAGGACAUAUAAUAUACAUGCAAAACAAAUUAAACGGCCUGAAGUUUCAACCCCAGCUGAGUCUUUCUCGAAGGCUAAAUGACCUUAAGAUGAUAGAUCCAUAAUAUGGAAUGUCAAUUCGGAUGUCAAGGGGGAGGAUGGUUAUCGGCGGACAAAGUUCUUUCUGAAAGCUCAAAUUUAAUCAUUUCACACCAAACUAAACAACAGAUCAAGAUGUGGAAUAAUUUAACAGCUGCUUUCACUUUAUAAAAUACAUUGUACAAUAAUAAUAAUAAUAACUUUCGAUUUAUAUAGCGCCUAAUAAUUAGCAAUAAUUAUCUAAGCGCUUUACAAAUAAUGGAUAAUUACACACAAAUUGGUGUACAUGAAACAAAAAAUAAUAUGCAACUUUUAAAUCCAUUGAAUUUAGAUAAAAACAGCAAUGUGAAGUAAUAAAACUAUGAUGUACACAGCAUUAAUAAGAAUGAUAACUGUUCACAUUUAUCUUUCAGGCACUGAUCCAAUCUAUAUUCUAUAUACAUAGACCUGAACCAAAUUUGAACCAAAAUUAAUAUUCUUUAUCCCCGAAUGCAAAUUGCCAUCUAUUCACUUUGAUGUUACUGCUGACUUUCAAAUUCAGUGUUAGCCCAGACUUCAUACAAAUAGGCAAAAGUGAGAAAUCCUUAAGUCAAGCGAACUGCACGCUUGCUAAAUUAUCUUGCUGACCCUAUGUUCAUUGAAUUGAAUUGAAUCCAAUUGCAUUGAAACGCCCUCCUGGAGCAACAUCAGAAAAAAAAUUUUCUGGUAAAAUGUUCAACUCAUAGCACGCACACUGUUUUUGAGGUUGCUUGCUCUAUGUUCUGACACCCCUAUGUUCUGGUUAUCCCUUGUGGUCUACACACAAAGGUUACAGUUUGAAAUACAGUUCUACAACUGUUGCACACAAAAAAAUCAAUCUUAAACUUUGUUCAAACAUAUGUGGGUAGUUACUGCACACUUCUUUUGGCACUUGACAUUUAUAAGGAAAACAUUAUUUAUAACUGUUUCAAGUCAAGAUCCUUUUUAAAAAGCUCUGUGGUGGUUUUCAUUAAGAGUUGGGACUAGUCUUAUCUCGAGUUACUAGUCCUAACUUAGGACUAGCUGUACACUUUUGAUAUCUCUUACGAGUCCUAACUCUUUGUGAAAUCGACCCCUGAUUACUUACGAUAAGGAACAAGUUUGGGAUGAAUCAAGAAGAUGGUGGAAUUCCAAGAACAUCUCUUAGAAACUUGUUGAUUCCUUUAAGACAACCAGAGCAAAAACUGACGAAAAGUUAUUUACUAACCCAGCUUUACUAACUACAAGAUAUAUUCCGAUGGUUACACAGCAAAACACCUCAUAUUGUUAUAAAUCCAUAGUGUAGAGGUAUGAAUGCUUAGUUAUAAAUGUAUUUACAAUAAUGGACACUAUCUGCUAACUAAAACUGAAGUUCAGGAAGAAAAAAAUAGCUCAAAAUAAGUGCUUACAAGUUUUUUAAGAAGUGAUUACGAUUCAACAUUUUAGGCAGGAAUAUUCAGCAUUAAUGAGAAAGCCCUCUUAUUAUUACACAAUAAUCGUUGCUGGGCUCAAUUCCACAAAGCACUAAUAUAUAAGACAAACUUUAAGAUUAGUUGUCAAAAAUUAUUGUUAGAAAGUAUCACGCUAAAUUGCUUAGUAAAAUAUGAUGUCACAGUUCAAGCAUAUUGUGACAACACUAAGCAAUUAAGAGUGAUGCACAAUUAAGAUCAAUCUUAGCCCUUUGUGAGAUCGGCCCCUGUAGGUGUAUAGACCACGACUUGGACAUUCCAGAGCCUUUCCAGCAGGCAAAUUACUACACAGGUCAUAUGGAAAACUUUAUGUAGUAAUUUCUACAAAUUCAACAGCUGAAGAAAGUUUGAGAUGUCUCUUUCUUUAUAUCAAAAGUAGAUACAAAUCAGACAGUCUCCAUCUCCAUAAAUCUCCAUAAAGUUUAUGUUUUCUUCAAUCGAGCUGUCUGGCUGUGUACUAAUCGUGCCUGCAGCAACUCCAUGAUUGGUUGCUCUUUUAAACAUGUGAUGUCACAGGCAGUCACAUGGUGUAUUACCCUUGUCAAUCUCUUAUGUUACACAACAUUGCAACAAAAUGAAAGCUCUUUUAUAAUAGAGUAAUCUUGGUUAAUAAAUCAAUAACAUUUUCUGAGUAAUAAAUAAUGUUUCAAAAAGCAAACAAAUUAAAUUAAAGAUAUUGGUCUUUUUUUUAAGGAAAACGUUCUUAGAAACCACAUUAACAACAUUGUAACUUUUCUACAUUUUUAUAUAUCAACAGAUAUACAAAGCUAUCUUAAUUGACUUGUUUAACUAUUACCUUUAGUGUUGCCAUCUGUUUUUUGUUUUUUUAACGUAGACAAAUAUUGAUGUGUAAAAUGGAGUCCGACCAAAACAAAUUCAAAACCCAAAGUGUACCUUGGUUUUGGAGCGAGAUAUGAUAUUUCUAGUUAUAGGGAAGGUAUA